rnacentral:rRNA from 1 species
GUGGGGAAUAUUGGACAAUGGGCGAAAGCCUGAUCCAGCCAUGCCGCGUGUGUGAAGAAGGUCUUCGGAUUGUAAAGCACUUUAAGUUGGGAGGAAGGGCAGUAAGUUAAUACCUUGCUGUUUUGACGUUACCGACAGAAUAAGCACCGGCUAACUUCGUGCCAGCAGCCGCGGUAAUACGAAGGGUGCAAGCGUUAAUCGGAAUUACUGGGCGUAAAGCGCGCGUAGGUGGUUUUGUGAGUUGGAGGUGAAAUCCCCGGGCUCAACCUGGGAACUGCCUCCAAAACUGCAUGACUAGAGUACGGUAGAGGGUAGUGGAAUUUCCUGUGUAGCAGUGAAAUGCGUAGAUAUAGGAAGGAACACCAGUGGCGAAGGCGACUACCUGGACUGAUACUGACACUGAGGUGCGAAAGCGUGGGGAGCAAACAGGAUUAGAUACCCGGGUAGUCC